UACGUAGGUGGCAAGCGUUGUUCGGAAUUACUGGGCGUAAAGCGCGUGUAGGCGGCUCUUCAAGUCAGGCGUGAAAGCCCCGGGCUUAACUCGGGAACUGCGCUUGAUACUGUCGAGCUAGAGUGUGGAAGGGGCGAUUGGAAUUCCGUGUGUAGCGGUGAAAUGCGUAGAUAUACGGAGGAACACCGGAGGCGAAGGCGGAUCGCUGGGCCAACACUGACGCUGAGACGCGAAGGCUAGGGGAGCAAACGGG
rnacentral:rRNA from 1 species